UGACACACCGGUUCUCGUAAGAUCACCGAAGUUAAGCCAUGUCAAGUCUGGUCAGUAUCUAGAUGGGUGAUCGCUUGGGAAUACCAGUAGUUGUAA